rnacentral:rRNA from 1 species
CCUACGGGAGGCAGCAGUAGGGAAUCUUCCACAAUGGACGAAAGUCUGAUGGAGCAACGCCGCGUGAGCGAUGAAGGCCUUCGGGUCGUAAAGCUCUGUUGUUAGGGAAGAACAAGUGCCAGAGUAACUGCUGGCACCUUGACGGUACCUAACCAGAAAGCCACGGCUAACUACGUGCCAGCAGCCGCGGUAAUACGUAGGUGGCAAGCGUUGUCCGGAAUUAUUGGGCGUAAAGCGCGCGCAGGUGGUUCCUUAAGUCUGAUGUGAAAGCCCACGGCUCAACCGUGGAGGGUCAUUGGAAACUGGGGGACUUGAGUGCAGAAGAGGAAAGUGGAAUUCCAAGUGUAGCGGUGAAAUGCGUAGAGAUUUGGAGGAACACCAGUGGCGAAGGCGACUUUCUGGUCUGUAACUGACACUGAGGCGCGAAAGCGUGGGGAGCGAACAGGAUUAGAAACCCCGGUAGUCCUAGCCGUAAACGAUGAAUACUGGGUGUCGGUGGUCCUAACCCCAUCGGUGCCGAAGCCAACGCGUUAAGUAUUCCGCCUGGGGACUACGGCCGCAAGGUUAAAACUCAAAGGAAUUGACGG